rnacentral:ribozyme from 10 species
UCUGCUCUAAAAGACAUCCUCCACGCGGCGAGUAGCGGGCAACGGGAUACACUCCCGGCGAAUCGUCUUU